CCUACGGGAGGCAGCAGUGAGGAAUAUUGGUCAAUGGGCGGGAGCCUGAACCAGCCAAGUCGCGUGAGGGAAUAAGGCGCCACGCGUCGUAAACUUCUUUUGUCGGGGAACAAAGGGCGCCACGUGUGCCGGUGUGAGUGUCCCCGAAGAAAAAGCAUCGGCUAACUCCGUGCCAGCCGCCGCGGUAAUACGGAGGACGCGAGCGUUAUCCGGAUUUAUUGGGGUUAAGGGGUGCGUAGGCGGUCCUGUAAGUCAGCGGUAAAAGCCCGGGGCUCAACCCCGGCGCGCCGUUGAAACUGGCGGACUAGAGACGGCGAGAAGUAGGCGGAAUGCGUGGUGUAGCGGUGAAAUGCAUAGAUAUCGCGCAGAACGCCGAUUGCGAAGGCAGCGUACCGGCGCCGUACUGACGCUGAGGCACGAAAGCGUGGGGAUCGAACAGGAUUAGAUACCCGAGUAGUC
rnacentral:rRNA from 1 species